CCACGGCACUAUUCCAUGGACUGGUCGUGAUCGGACGGCCCAGGGAGUUUUCGAUCUUGAUCCGACGGUCCAAAGGCUUGAUUUGGGUUGAUUAAGGAGUCCUAAACCUAAUCUAAAUCAUGUUUAAUCCUUUAAAAGGGCCCGUGAGGCACAAAAAGGUGGUGUGGUGGUUUUUGGCCUGGUUUUCUCACGGAAACUGCGGCGGUGUGAACCCGAGAAGGAACCCGAAGAAGAGAGAGAGGCAGAAGCGCUGAGAGAGAAGGAGCAGGAGGCUCCUGGACAGCGAACACCAGACACUUCAGGGGUUCAGAGGGUCUUCUAAGAGAGAGAGCUUUUGUGAGGAAAACUUCUAGUGAUAGAGAAAUUGGGUGUACGAGGGUUGAGGGUGAGAUCUCCUCUUGUAAAAUUUUUUUUAUAGUGAAAUUUGCAUGCUCCGUGGAGGCGAGCCCUUUUGUGGCUGGNNNNNNNNNNNNNNNNNNNNGUGUUGGCGAGAAUGUUGAGGAGAAGUCCAGGGCGCUGGUUUUGCUGGCGUCGCUUUUCCCUUCGUACGAGUCCUUGAUGACUACCUUCUAAUGGGGAAGAGCACCAUCAAGAUGGACGAGGUCAUCGCGGCGAUACUCCAGAACGAGGUUCUCGGGAGGGAGAAUCCAGUUUUGAGCUCAGGUGGCGGUAGCUCAGGUUUGAUGGCUUCUGGAGGAGCAGGAGGCGGUAGACGGAGCGAUAGAAGAUCGCAACGAGGGCGGUCCAAGUCCAGGAGAGACUUGAGCAAAAUCAGGUGUUACCGGUGCGAAGAGUUGGGACAUCUAGCCAGAGAUUGCUCUCAACUCAAAAAUCGGACGGUGGCUGCUGUAGCGACGGCCAACAGCGAUUCAGAUGGAGAUGUCCUGGAGAUAUCUGACGAGGUAUCUACUUCUUCCCAGCAAUGGAUAUUAGAUUCUGCAUGCCCCUAUCAUGUAUGUUACACAGAGGAACAGUUUGACUCUCUCGAGAACAGUGAGGGCACUGUAUAUCUGUCGGAUGGAUUAAACUGUGCGAUCAGAGGCAUCGGGACGGUCAGCUGGAGGACACAUGACGGUGCAGUGAGGAGAUUGGGGGAGGUUCGAUAUAUAUCCAAUUUCAUGCGGAAUCUUAUCUCACUUAGCAGACUGUAUUCGAGAGGCUACAAGACGGUAACUGGUGGAGGAAUCCUGAGGGUGCUACGCGGCGAUAGGAUUGUGCUGGAGGGAAAGAAAGGGAGCAGAGGAUAUUAUUACCUGACGGGNNNNNNNNNNNNNNNNNNNNNNNNNNNNNNNNNNNNNNNNNNNNNNNNNNNNNNNNNNNNNNNNNNNNNNNNNNNNNNNNNNNNNNNNNNNNNNNNNNNNNNNNNNNNNNNNNNNNNNNNNNNNNNNNNNNNNNNNNNNNNNNNNNNNNNNNNNNNNNNNNNNNNNNNNNNNNNNNNNNNNNNNNNNNNNNNNNNNNNNNNNNNNNNNNNNNNNNNNNNNNNNNNNNNNNNNNNNNNNNNNNNNNNNGGUACUGAAAAGAUCUUGAAAGGUGGUAUCCUGACCAGACAUCCUCCCAACAAAAACCUUUCUGUGCAUCAAUUUAGAACCUUUGAUAUAUGGAAUUGAAAGUUAACAAGUACAAAGCAUGUUUUUGUAACAAGUAUCAUUUAAAACUAUCUAGAAUUUAUUGGAGUUAUUAUUUUUAUGUAAAGAAUGAAUUUACAAGUUGAAAUUUCUUUCCUGUACAAAUCAAACAAAAUAGCUUUUGAAUACGGGAUCCUUCAUAACUUGAUUUCUAUUUUUUGCUAAAUUUAGUUCAUAAGACAUGCAAGACUGGCAGUUGCAUGCAUGUCCUUGCAAGCGAUCUAAUUGUCUUUGGUCAGAAUUGAACUCCAUGUCUUAAUGUAAUUGUUUUUUUGUAACUUCCCAAAGUCAUGAGAAGAGAACCUAUUUGUUUGCCAACUCUUCCUUGGUCAUCCAAACCUCCCAUCCUCAUGAAAAAAAAAUAAAAAUAAAAAUUAUGACAUUUAGAAGGGAAAAGAAAGAACAAAAGAUCAUGUUGUUUAUCUACUAUUUUUGUCAUGUCCGGACUUUGUACGAGGGAUCACUACCUUCAUAAAUUGAACUACGUGAAAUGCAUGAGCAGGAGACUGACUGGGGGUGGACUUGAAUCUGUGCAGUUAACAAACAAUUAAAUGACAAGGAAAGAGUUGCUGCAGCACUUGAAAAUCCCAACCUUCGCCAACUUGUGGAUGAGUGUCUCUAUUCCAGUGAACUCUACUCGCUGUAACUUGUUUCCAAAGAACUCUGCUUGUGUAGCAGCAAUUCAUGCAUUGUGAAAUCGAUGUGAUGGUUGGUACAUUAUAAAGCUGUAUUUGAUCAUCGAACUAGCUUGAAUGUUAUUGUUGAUGCCUGUUUUCUUGAUCAGCUUACAGAAAUGUUCUGUGAAGUUAUUGGUGUACUUGUUCCUAGUGGUGUUUCUAUGGCAUUCUUGGUUUCAUAUUUUAGGUUUGGUUAUAAGCUGCCUAUGAUCUUCAAUUCUACAAUACCAAGUUCAUAUUAUUUUUUCCUUUUAUUUUGUGUUGGCAAUAGAUAAUUACCUAGUUUGACUCAGUUGCCACUAUAAGUAAAUUGUCAUGCUUCAUGAGCAAGAUUUUGUGAAGUAAGAUAAGGUCCUGAGUUUUUAUACAGUGUUAAUAAAGUUCCAAAGAGUGAGCAUCCAUUAGUAAAUGUAUCAUGGAUUUUUCUGAUUUUCUUGUGCAGACUGACAGGAUUUCUUGUGGACGUACCAUCCAGCUUUCUGAUGUUUCUAGCUAGAGAAAUUAAGUUACCUCUGCUAUGGAGGUAUCCGUGCAAUUUAAUGCGUUCCAUCUCUAUCUAUACUAGCACAAUUUUUUGUUAUCAGCUUUUUUGAAAUCCAAAUAUCCUUUAUUGUUGGCUGGCAUAAUUAAUAAUAUUUUAGUGAAAUUAUGAUAGAUAGAGAGAAAUAAAUAAAUAAAAGUUUAAAUAGAUGUCUUUCUUGGGGCCAGAAAAUCAAAUAAAGGGAAGUCUUGGAGCCACCAGCCCAUUCUAUCCCUAUCUGUUUAAUAAAAGCUUGUAAUAAAAAAAUCAUAGAUGUUUAUGUAUCCUAUCAGCGUUGCACAAGAAAAUAUUAGUUGUUAUAUGGCAAACUUUGGGUCUUGUUCAAAUUUAGAAAGAAUGCCGUACGUGGGUCUUUAAGAAAUUGGUUUAUACAUAGCUUCUUUUCAAUAAGAAUAUAUUUUAAUUACUUCAACUAAGGACAAGAAAAAGAGUUUUUACCAACUACGAGUACGAAUGCGUUUCUCAAAUAUAAAUAUCACAGCCAUCGAUACUUCUUUGUAUUUCUAUCCAACCAUCCAUGCUUUCCCUCGUGUGUAUUGCACGUGCGUAACAUGUAUUAGAACCAUCAAAGAUAUAACAACAACAAACGUUUUUUCUUUCCCAAAACCUAUUUACAUCAAUUUCUCAGAAGAAAAGUUUUUCCAUUUCAGCACACAUCCAAAAAUGAUUAGCAUAGAGAACAAAAUAUUACACCAACCAAUAAAGGAAAAUGCUUGAAACAUGGAUUUUCCCCUCUUAUUCUUUCCAUCCAAUGGUUUCCUCUUACCAUCACAUGCAUGACUAACGCCCAUGAAAAUUUCUGUGGGCGUCUGUAAGUAAACAUAAUGUUAGAGGAGAAAGGUAUUUUAUGUGGGAGAUGAUGAGUUAUACAUUAUUUCUAUUGCUAUCGGCAUUCUAGAGUUUUAUUGCAGUAUCUUGGAACCAUUCUUUGUGACGGCACGGAAGCAUGCAUGACAACCAUCAAAUUUCUGAAAAGUAAAUGGGCUGGUAAGUUGUCAUUGUUUUUGCUAUGCCUGAGUCCAGAUACCAGAGGCACACUUUGAGAUUUUGGUAUUUCAGUGCCAUGACAGAAGCAAUGGAGGAUCCCAUCUGCUGCGAAAGAGCGACAGGAACAUCAAAAUCUACAAAAAAAAGGAUACACAAGAAGACAGGUUAUGCAUGAUUUUAGCUGGUUCUCUAUAUCCACGGAUGGAGGAAAAGUAAAUGAGUUCAACAACAAGCGAUAAUAUGUGAACUGAUGCCAACGGUGGUCAUACAUUCCAGUGCAGCAGUAUUCAACCGGAACUGCAUUUCUAGUAAAUUUAUCAUAAAAUCAAGGGAACGUUGAGGAGGUGAAACAACAACUACAGCAUUCUCACACCAAGAAAUACAAGUAAAAGAAAACAUUACAAAGCAAUCACACAAACAAGCAUUAACAAAUGAGCCAUCUUAAAUAAUUAAGGUUCUCCCGAUUAUAAAAAGUAAAUAGACUUAUUCUCCAGUUUCUUGUGCAAGUAUUAUGGUUUAGUUGUUGGCAAUACCAGAAGAGAAGGGUGGCAAAGACGUUGACUGAAACAUUGAGGCCUUGUGUUCUCAUCCACGCAUGUCUGCUUCCUAAAGGAAAAAAGGAAUUUUCAAAAUCAGCCACAUCUAAUAAUAAUGCAGAUCAGAUGGCUAUCACAGAUUACCACGGGAAGUAACUGGUAACUAAGAGAAGAUAUUGGAACAAAGAGACUGGAUAACACCCCAGUUCAUCUAAGCAUAAAUUAUUUCUUCAGUCUGGACACCUUGGAUUCAUCCAAAAAAAAGGCUGGUUCCCAUGGAUCAGAGCUGGCCAUGAGGUACUAGAAAACAUAAAAAUGUCAAAAGCUCAUCCAAAAUAAUUGAUACAGAUGGUUGGUAUCUUUCAUCCCAACUUUGCAAGGGUAACUAUGUAUCACAGAGAUGAACAUUUAAGACAAAAAAACACCAAGUUACAUGACAGGAAACUAUUUAUAAAGCAUACUAGUAAAAGCAGAUAAAGGGUAGUCAGAUCGAUGCAGUAUGGAUAGAGCAAUAUAGUCGAGUAAUCAAAUGUAAGUUACACGUGAAGCCUGUUGUAGCCUUUUACGAAACAACAUGACAGUCAUAAUCGUAUAUUAUUAGUCUAUUCACUAGCAUAAUCUGCUUUUAACUGGUGCGGUCAUCAUGUGGUGGUCGAUUUGCCCGCCUAAACCAGGUAUUGAAUGCUGAGAUCAGAUGUGGGCAGUCAUCGACAUUGCGUGUGGAGAAGCUGAGGCACUGCUGCAGCAAUUCUUUGGCAUCUGACAUGGGCAGGGUGGAUAUAAUCCUUAGAAAUGUUUCUUCCAUCUCAUGAUAAAACAUUUUGUGACCAGAUGGUAUUGGUGAAACCAUAUCUCUGCAAACGUUCAACACAGGGAGCCACUCCUUCACAAGCUUCAUCCUCACCUGAAAAGGAAAAUACAACAGAAAGCUUAAAGAACGAAAACCCAGCAUCCAGCAUGCAAAGAUAACACUCCGAAAGAAAAAUUAUCAUCUGGGAAGUUCAGAAGCUUUCUAGGUUUCCAGAGUGGGAUUAAUCCUAGUAAAAGCAGAAAAUCCAAAAUUAUAACAUAUUCCGCCAUGUGUCCGGUAAAAUCUUCAGCAAUCAAGGUGCUGCAAAACAAGAGACAAUUUUUUGUACUGUGAGAAAACAAAAUACUCGAAUCAACCAACACGAUCCACAUGUAUUGGCACAGAAGGGCGCAAGACAAUACAAAUUAUAUGACACCCACAUUCAGAAAUGGUUGGUUAUAUAUAGUUCGACAUGGCAUCAGAUAUGAUCCAUAUUAGUCAGUUCAGGACAGUAAACCUACUUCUUGAGUCUUCUCAAAGCUUAAGAUACAGUACUCAGGUUACAAAACUUCUCUAGCAAUGAGAUAAAUAUAUUAAGAGAUGGAGGGGGGAACAGGAGAAAAGCCAUGUACUGUCUAUAU
rnacentral:lncRNA from 1 species